rnacentral:rRNA from 1 species
AUUGAACGCUGGCGGCAUGCCUUACACAUGCAAGUCGAACGGUAACGGGCCUUCGGGUGCCGACGAGUGGCGAACGGGUGAGUAAUACAUCGGAACGUGCCCGAUCGUGGGGGAUAACGUGGCGAAAGCUUUGCUAAUACCGCAUACGAUCUACGGAUGAAAGCAGGGGACCGCAAGGCCUUGCGCGGACGGAGCGGCCGAUGGCAGAUUAGGUAGUUGGUGGGAUAAAAGCUUACCAAGCCGACGAUCUGGAGCUGGUGUGAGAGGAUGAUGGGCCACAUUGGGACUGAGACACGGACCAGACUCCUACGGGAGGCAGCAGUGGGGAAUUUUAGGCAAUGGGCGGAAGCCUGAUACAGCCAUGCCGCGUGCAGGAUGAAGGCCUUCGGGUUGUAAACUGCUUUUGUACGGAACGAAAAGCCUUCUUUUAAUACAGGAGGGUCAUGACGGUACCGUAAGAAUAAGCACCGGCUAACUACGUG